rnacentral:rRNA from 1 species
CCUACGUGAGGCAGCAGUGGGGGAUAUUGCACAAUGGGGGAAACCCUGAUGCAGCGCCGCCGCGUGUGGGAAGACGGUCCUCUGGAUUGUAAACCACUGUCCCCAGGGACGAAGAUGACGGUACCUGGGGAGGAAGCUCCGGCUAACUACGUGCCAGCAGCCGCGGUAGUACGUAGGGAGCGAGCGUUGUCCGGAAUUACUGGGUGUAAAGGGAGCGUAGGCGGGACUGCAAGUUGGGUGUCAAAUCUACCGGCUCAACCGGUAGCCGCACUCAAAACUGCAGUUCUUGAGUGAAGUAGAGGCAGGCGGAAUUCCUAGUGUAGCGGUGAAAUGCGUAGAUAUUAGGAGGAACACCAGUGGCGAAGGCGGCCUGCUGGGCUUUUACUGACGCUGAGGCUCGAAAGUGUGGGGAGCAAACAGGAUUAGAUACCCGAGUAGUC